rnacentral:rRNA from 1 species
GUCAGGCACGAACGAGACCCUUGCAUCUAGUUGCCAGCAGAGUCCCUUCGGGAUGCUGGGUACCCUAGAUGGACCGCCACUGCUAAAGUGGAGGAAGGAGAGGGCGACGGUAGGUCAGUAUGCCCCGAAUCUCCCGGGCCUACACGCGGCCUACAAUGGACAGGACAAUGGGCUCCGAUCCCGAAAGGGAAAGGCAAUCCUUUAAACCUGUUCUUAGUUCGGAUUGAGGGCUGUAACUCGCCCUCAUGAAGCUGGAAUCUCUAGUAAUCACGUGUCAUUAUCGCGCGGUGAAUACGUCCCUGCUCCUU